CCUACGGGGGGCUGCAGUCGAGAAUCAUUCACAAUGGGGGAAACCCUGAUGGUGCGACGCCGCGUGGGGGAAUGAAGGUCUUCGGAUUGUAAACCCCUGUCAUGUGGGAGCAAAUUAAAAAGAUAGUACCACAAGAGGAAGAGACGGCUAACUCUGUACCAGCAGCCGCGGUAAUACAGAGGUCUCAAGCGUUGUUCGGAAUCACUGGGCGUAAGGCGUGCGUAGGCUGUUUCGUAAGUCGUGUGUGAAAGGCGCGGGCUCAACCCGCGGACGGCACAUGAUACUGCGAGACUAGAGUAAUGGAGGGGGAACCGGAAUUCUCGGUGUAGCAGUGAAAUGCGUAGAUAUCGAGAGGAACACUCGUGGCGAAGGCGGGUUCCUGGACAUUAACUGACGCUGAGGCACGAAGGCCGGGGGAGCGAAAGGGAUUAGAUACCCGGGUAGUC
rnacentral:rRNA from 1 species